rnacentral:rRNA from 1 species
GUAGGGGGCAAGCGUUGUCCGGAAUUAUUGGGCGUAAAGCGCGCGCAGGCGGUCAUGUAAGUCUGGUGUUUAAUCCCGGGGCUCAACCCCGGAUCGCACUGGAAACUGCGUGACUUGAGUGCAGAAGAGGAGAGUGGAAUUCCACGUGUAGCGGUGAAAUGCGUAGAGAUGUGGAGGAACACCAGUGGCGAAGGCGACUCUCUGGGCUGUAACUGACGCUGAGGCGCGAAAGCGUGGGGGAGCAAACAGGAUUAGAUACCCCGGUGGUCCACGCCGUAAACGAUGAGUGCUAGGUGUUAGGGGUUUCGAUACCCUUGGUGCCGAAGUUAACACAUUAAGCACUCCGCCUGGGGAGUACGGUCGCAAGACUG